GAUGAACGCUAGCUACAGGCUUAACACAUGCAAGUCGAGGGGCAGCAUGGUCUUAGCUCGCUAAGGCCGAUGGCGACCGGCGCACGGGUGAGUAACACGUAUCCAACCUGCCGUCUACUCUUGGACAGCCUUCUGAAAGGAAGAUUAAUACAAGAUGGCAUCAUGAGUCCGCAUGUUCACAUGAUUAAAGGUAUUCCGGUAGACGAUGGGGAUGCGUUCCAUUAGAUAGUAGGCGGGGUAACGGCCCACCUAGUCUUCGAUGGAUAGGGGUUCUGAGAGGAAGGUCCCCCACAUUGGAACUGAGACACGGUCCAAACUCCUACGGGAGGCAGCAGUGAGGAAUAUUGGUCAAUGGGCGAGAGCCUGAACCAGCCAAGUAGCGUGAAGGAUGACUGCCCUAUGGGUUGUAAACUUCUUUUAUAAAGGAAUAAAGUCGGGUAUGGAUACCCGUUUGCAUGUACUUUAUGAAUAAGGAUCGGCUAACUCCGUGCCAGCAGCCGCGGUAAUACGGAGGAUCCGAGCGUUAUCCGGAUUUAUUGGGUUUAAAGGGAGUGUAGAUGGAUAUUUAAGUCAGUUGUGAAAGUUUGCGGCUCAACCGUAAAAUUGCAGUUGAUACUGGAUAUCUUGAGUGCAGUUGAGGCAGGCGGAAUUCGUGGUGUAGCGGUGAAAUGCUUAGAUAUCACGAAGAACUCCGAUUGCGAAGGCAGCCUGCUAAGCUGCGACUGACAUUGA
rnacentral:rRNA from 1 species